AGUGAACGCUGGCGGUAGGCCUAACACAUGCAAGUCGAACGGCAGCACAGUAAGAGCUUGCUCUUACGGGUGGCGAGUGGCGGACGGGUGAGGAAUACAUCGGAAUCUACUUUUUCGUGGGGGAUAACGUAGGGAAACUUACGCUAAUACCGCAUACGACCUACGGGUGAAAGCAGGGGAUCUUCGGACCUUGCGCGAUUGAAUGAGCCGAUGUCGGAUUAGCUAGUUGGCGGGGUAAUGGCCCACCAAGGCGACGAUCCGUAGCUGGUCUGAGAGGACGAUCAGCCACACUGGAACUGAGACACGGUCCAGACUCCUACGGGAGGCAGCAGUGGGGAAUAUUGGACAAUGGGCGCAAGCCUGAUCCAGCCAUACCGCGUGGGUGAAGAAGGCCUUCGGGUUGUAAAGCCCUUUUGUUGGGAAAGAAAAGCAGCAGGUUAAUACCCCGCUGUUCUGACGGUACCCAAAGAAUAAGCACCGGCUAACUUCGUG
rnacentral:rRNA from 1 species